rnacentral:lncRNA from 1 species
GAGGUCAAUGGAGCUGUCUUUCCCAAGCCCUUUGUGGAGAAGCCAGUGAGUGCAGAAGACCACAAUGUUUACAUCUACUACCCCAGCUCAGCUGGAGGAGGAAGCCAGCGUCUCUUUCGUAAGAUUGGCAGCCGAAGCAGUGUUUACUCUCCUGAGAGCAGCGUCCGAAAGACGGGGUCGUACAUCUAUGAGGAGUUUAUGCCAACAGAUGGCACAGAUGUCAAGGUUAUGGUGGAUAUAGGGAUUUAAGAGGUUACAAAUGUGUGGGUGGGGAUGGGGUACUUGGGAAGCAGGUGGAAGUAUAUGGGGAGGAGGUCCUAGAAAAUAACAUGAUGUGAAUGUGAUUGGCUUUCAUAUUCAGGUGAAGAUAAUGAGUGGAGGAUACAGACA